GAGUAGAGUUUAAAAUCUGUAAUUUUACUUUUACUUAAGUAUGAUUUGCCUAAAGUAUUGUACUUCGCUACAUUUUAAAUCAUAUGCGUUACUGAGUAAAAAAUAAAUAUAUAAAGAAAUGCAACGGAAAAAGAAAAAAGAAAUCGCGCCCGGAAAUUACGUCACUGUAGCACCAGCGUGAGAAAAAUCUGCGGGAAACUUCACUGUUGCUGAAGUUUGAUGUAUCGCCGGAGUUUAGAAAGUUUAUCAGCAAAAUCCCUGUCAACCCCAGCAAUGACAAGACACAGUCACCUGAAGUUGCUGGAAAUGAAUUGCAGAAGGCAAAAGCCAGAGGUUUUCUCCAUAUUAUGAAGGAUGGCACUGUCAUCAAAUUCACCUGCUUUCUUCGUGAUGUUCUAACCCAGCUCAGCAGUCAGUCCCAAUCUAUGCAGCACUCCUCUGUGACUGUGGCCGAAGUCCAUGAAUGCCUGUCCUCUAUACCUUGGAUUUAAUGUUUAAAUACAAAUCAAGACCUGUUUCUAAACUGAAGACCACGCUGGGAACAAACUGAUAUGAGGGUGUCAGUCUAAAGCCAUGUGAUGACCACACCUAAUAAGUUCAAAGACCACCUGAUAGACCUGCUGUCAAAGACAAUGGCUUGGAGAUGUCAGUCAUGAGAUUCAGCGUGCCAUGCGGAUUACCAACUUCCAAUACUGGCCAGAGGCAGGCAGAAAUGCUAGUGAGUUAAAAUUUUUAUAUUUAAAGUGACCAAUUCAAACAAAAUAUUCUACAUAAUUUUAUAUAUAUCAUAUACACUCAUUACGCAUCACUUUGAACCUGUGCUGCUGAGAUCUGGUGUAAAGGUGGGUGAAGUCCUGGUCCAAUAGACAGUUCUAAAGUCGAGGCUAUACCAGGACUUCAGUGCUCUACAAAACAUCUUUUGAUUGGAUUGAUCUCAUCCUUUGCAUCUCUGCUUCAACAGCAGAUUUUGAGCGGGGAUUUAGUGCCAUAAAGAAUGUCAAAAGUGACUGGCAGGCUGGUUUCCUAAGUCAGACAUUGUCAGACCUUCUCACGGUGCAGCUAUCCUCUGCUUCCAUCACAGACUUUGAUCCAGACUCAGCUAUCAAUUUGUGGCACAUUGAAAGCAUUCGGUCUCAAAGGCCAGCUUUCAUGGUUCAGAGAGACCAGCAGAAAGAAAAUGAUUCUGAUGAUGAAAGCUGUUAUGAUAUUUAAUAUACUUUACUUUCACCCCCACAUCCGUGUGCUAUUCAUUUACAUAUCAAAAUGUACAUUUGCUUUAAUUACUUUUGUAAUUUAUAAUGAAUGAGCUAAAAUGUUGUUUGUUCUAAAUUUUAGUGCAGAUUUAUUUUACACUCUGCAGCAACACAGUAUGUAUUGCUUUCAAAUAAUAAGUCAUAAAAGUAAUUAAAUAAAUAGUUAAAGUGUCUUUUUUCAGUUAAUCUUAUAUGCACCAUUGUUAUUGUAUUGCUUAAAAGUAAUCUAUUUUAAUGAAUAAUGUCUAGUGAUACAACAGGUAUAUUGUUGAAAAUGUUUAGGGAUUUAAUAGAAGUUUAGAAUUGAUUGACAGCUAUGCCUUAGUCCCGCCCCCAGAGACUGCCGCAACUUGUAGUUUCGCUCUAGUGCUACAGAGGACUCGUGAGAGGGCUCGUGAAAGGCAUUUGAGUCGCCAGAUGUAUCACAGCCAAGCUUAUGAGUAAACUACACACAUGCAUACUUAAAUUAACCCAUUAAAUACCUCUGACUGGACUCCUGGAUUAUGUGCAUUCUUACCGAUGCCCCAUAAUGAUCCCAAUCAAUAAGUGUGAACUAGUGAAUAGAGUUCAAACCCUAUCAAACAUAAUGUUAGUUAGUAUUUGAAGUAGAUCACAAAAAUGUUACAAAGCUGUCCUAAGACAAGAAUGGAUGUAACAAGCAUGACUGAUUUUAUUAAUGCAUUAGUAAAUGCUGUACAUAAAUUAUGCUGUACAGGUAUUGUUCAUAUAUUAGUUCACAUUUAAACCAUUAACAUUACUUAUAAAACCACUGUAAAAUGUAACUGUUGUAUGCAUGUUGUUAUAUUAUAUUUGUAUGUAUUUUAUAUUUAUUUUUUUA